rnacentral:rRNA from 1 species
ACUCAAAGGAAUUGACGGGGGUCCGCACAAGCGGUGGAACAUGUGGUUUAAUUCGACACUACGCGAGGAACCUUACCUAGGUUUGACAUGUACCUGCAACUGGUGGAAACAUUGGGUUCCGUAGCAAUACGGACGGGUACACAGGUGCUGCAUGGCUGUCGUCAGCUCGUGUCGUGAGACGUCGGGUUAAGUCCUUGAACGAGCGCAACCCCUGCCGUUAGUUGCUAGUCGUAAGGCAGCACUCUAGCGGGACUGCCGUGGAAACACGGAGGAAGGUGGGGAUGACGUCAAGUCCUCAUGGCCCUUAUGCCUAGGGCGACACACGUGUUACAAUGGCGAAGAACAAAAGGAAGCGAAGUCGCGAGAUGGAGCAAAUCCCGAAAAUUCGUCUAAGUUCAGAUCGUAGUCUGCAACCCGACUACGUGAAGUUGAAAUCGCUAGUAAUCGUAUAUCAGAACGAUACGGUGAAUACGUUCUCGGACCUUGCACACACCGCCCGU